UGUGAAAUUGCCUUAACCUUGGGCAAUUAAGUAAUAUGAGUGGUGUGAUAGGAAAUUUUGAUUCAUUGUGAUUGACUAUAAAUAAAAUUAGAAUGGUGAGAAUAAUGAUGAUGAUGCUAGUGAAAUACAAGUUGUGAUGAUACUGGUGAUGCACAAGAUAAUGAAAAUAUAUUGUACAUACCAAUUGUAAUGAGACAUAAAUAAUAAAUAGAUUGGC